rnacentral:lncRNA from 10 species
GGAUAGGGAGUUAGCUACACUUCAUCAAGAGUAAGAAUGAGGAUGCUGGAGUGCUUCUUGGGGAUCAAAAGAGGGCUACAUGGGAGAGGGAGAGCACACCCUACAAUCAUCUUAAAUCUUCCUUAAGAAGACCAUCCAAAGGGAUGAUGUGAUGUCAAUCGGAGAGAGGGACCAGCAGAACAGCUCAGAUAGAAACUAUGUGUGGCCUUCCAGAGGUACCACCAUGCUGCUGGAAGUACAGUAGCACAAUCCCGGCGAUAGAAUUUCCAAGGAACCCUGGGCAUACCUUACGAGAAAAUCAACAUCGAGCAUAGAUUAAAUGAAGAGAAUGUCAAUGCCCAGGCAUGCAUCAGUACCAUACAGAUCUGUGAAUGGUGAAAUCAUGGAUUCAGGUUUAUAAUGCCAGUGAACAGAGAGGACUGAUGAAAUAUUAGCUGCAUCUGGUUACAGAGUAUGGCCACGUACUUCACUUAAAGAUUCUUCAUUCUCCUCAACAUAUCAACUCCCCAUUACCAUACAAAAUUCAGCUCUUUGUCAGCACAUCCAAAGUCUUCACUGAACCCCUUAAGCCAUAAACAAAAAACUUAGACUAUUUGGGAUGCCUCUAACUCACCUAAAGCAGGAAUAAUGCGAUUUCCUAUCACAUGGGAAUGGUGAGAGGAUUAAGAAGACACAGUGAGCGUCCAACACAUAGAAGGCCUUCAGUGAAGAUCAAUUGGUGAACACUAUCAUGAAGAGUUCCUUCCCGCUUUCGUUCAUUGGACAGUGAGUACAGAAAAAACAUUGUGAGGACUUCAGCUCUUAUUUUGGUGUAUUCUUGUUACCAUCACAGAGACUUGCCUUCCUCUUAUCAUCCAAAUGGCAAGUCUUGCCCUGCCCAAGAUCAGCAGGAAGACAAAACACUUGUGCUCAGUUUCUGCAACAUAAAAACGACAAAGCUCAGGCGGCUCCUUAGCCAGAGCCAUUCUAAAUGUUUCUGCCCCCAACUUAAUUGCAGUGAUAAAUAUCAUGUACAGAGCUGAGGCUAAAUGACAAAUGCAUAAACCAGCUGAAUAGCAGAAAAGAAAUAAGUCAUUAGGCCCCUGUCUCUGAUGCCCAGGGGAGGUUACCUGUUCCUCUUUUUCAACAGGCACCGCUGUUGGAGUACACUUUGAUGUAUUGCAUAAGUCAGCAUAGCAACAGCAGGGAUAUAUGUAUUUGUCCCGCAUUCAAGCAUCUCUCUGAAUGCUUUUAAAUACCAGAUUAUACUACCCAGACCACCAGGAAUUGGUAUUUAAUAACACAGCUAGCAAGAAGUGUGGUAUCCCAGCAAAUCCCACCUGUUCUCUGUGCAGACCAGGAGCAAGGCACUGUGUGGGACAUUCUUGUGAACAACCAUCUCAUGACCCCUUGAGCACUCAUGGGAAGCUGGGAUUACAUUAGACAAGGGAGAAACUGAAAGCAAGAGGGUAAGAAGCCAAUAAGGGCAAUGUGUCUGGUCAGUAGCAAGGUAGAACCUCAAACUCAAAUCUUCUGGUUUCAACUUCCACGACCUUGAUGCUACUGUGUGGCUGCCUUGGUCUUCUACCUAAAUUCUCAUUUACCUCCCUGAUUAAAUCACAAGAAUCCUGGGAACUGUAGGAGGAUAUACUGAGAAUCGAUGGGAAUGAGGUCAUCAACCAGUGGAGUGGCUAAUUUCUUUAGAUCAAAAUCUGAAAGAUACAUUUCACCAGGAAGACUAUUCUGUAGAAUAGAUUCAAAUCUGACUCAGCUGCUUCCAUUGUAAAUGUUGGGAGAAGUAGAGUCUGACCCCCUCAACAGCCCUGAGUUCUCCCUGCUGUACUCUGAAGUGGCCACCUGCUUGGAGAACAGUUUCAUUCAGACCAACAGCCAAAUUUGAUCACUGAGGAAGCUGAGUUCCAGAGAGAGGAACGGAUCCACUGAGAGACAACUUUUUAAGUCUUCAGACUUCUGCCUUUAUUUUCUCACAGAACCCUGUUUGCCACAUGUCAAUAUAUCAGUGUAUUAUGAGGAGUGGUGAUUUGCCCAGCUGCACCUGGAGGAUGGGACUUGGAGCUAGGAUUCCACCACAGGCUUUCUGACCCCAGGCUCUGUGCCUUUCCUCCAUUCCACAGCUGCAUCUAGGGUCUCUCAUGAGCGACGGAAAUUUGUGCUUCAUUAAAAAAAUUUUGCAAAGCUCCAUAACUGUUCUGUAUGGCCUGAAAUCCCCAGACUCCAGUGCCUACCAGUUCUUAAUAUUUAUUAAACAGGCAUCACUUCACUGGUUCUUAUCUGGAUCACGUUCUCAGAGUCUUAACUCAGCACUGCAAACCUUCCUUCUGUUCCUCCCUCUUCCUAUCACAUCCAGGAUGAAAUAACUACAUUUCAUAUAGUUAAUUUAUACCUGCUGCUCAGCAAGCAUAUCCUUUUCAUGCAGCCAAGGGCAAGGGUGUCUGUGGGGGCAAGAGAAAGAAGGAAAAUGUGAGUUUCCACUUAGCCAGUGAGUUAGCGGCUCAGCAAGAGAACAAAGCUAGUGCAAACAAAGAAGACGAGAGUAAGGAAGGAUAAAUCCUAAGUGUUUCCCUAGCCUGGAAAUUUCCGGAUGUGAUCCCUGUCAGAGUCACCAGGUGAUGCAUCUGAGCACGAGUUUUCUGUUGUCAUGACUUCCGGAGAGCAAGCAGCCUGUUGUACAAGCCCUGCCCUCCUUUGGCUGUUUUUCCCACAGGCACCUACAGGCUUAAAUUAUAAAAGCUGUGACUUUUUAAAGAAAUAUGAAUUGAGGCUUGGCACAGUGGCUCAUGCCUGUAAUCCCAGCACUUUAGGAGGCCAAGAUGGGAGGAUUUCUUGAGCCCUGAAAUUAGAGACCAGCCUAGACAACAUAGUGAGACCCCGACUCUACAAAAACUUUUGAAAUCAGUCAGGCAUGGUGGUGUGUUCCUGUAGUCCCAGCUACUUGGGAGGCUGAGGUGGGAGGAUCGCUUGAGCCCAGGAGGUUGAGGCUGCAGUGAGCCAUAAUUGCAUCACUGCACUCCAGCCUGAAUGACAGAGCAAGACCUGUCUCUAAAAAAAGAAAAAGAAACAUGAAUGGAAUAUCUCGGGUAGCCAUUCACCAUUUAUCCAUUUCUUCAGCCACUCAAAUUACUCAGUCUACCAUCCAUUCCUUGCUUUCUGUAUAUAUGUACUGAAUGCCUAUAAAGAUGGGCACUGUGUCACCUGCUACAAACUCAAUAGUGAUUUCAGCUGAAUAUGAUAGCUAAUGCUUACAGAGUGCAUACAUCAUAGGUGAUGCUAACCAUUGUGUAUGGACUAUUACAUUUAUUCCCCUUCAAUUCCCAUAAUGUUAUAAUUCCUAUUUUACAGAUUAGGAAACUGAGAUACAGCAUUCAAAGCCAUACACCUAAUAAGUGGCAGGGCCUGCAUUCAGUCCCAGAGCUCAAAAAGUUAACCAUCAUGGGCCAGGCGCAGUGGCUCAUGCGUGUAAUCCCAGCACUUUGGGAGGUCAAAGUGUGCGGAUCAUGAGGUCAGGAGAUUGAGACCAUCCCGGCCAAUAUAGUGAAACCCCGUCUCUACUAAAAAUAGAAAAAUUAGCUGGGCAUGGUGGUGUGUGCCUGUAAUCCCAGUUACUCAGGGGGCUGAGGCAGGAGAAUUGCUUGAACCCAAGAAGCGGAGGUUGCAAUGAGCCGAGAUCGCACCACUGUACUCCAGCCUGGAGACAGAGCUAGACUCCAUCUUAAAAAAAAAAAAAGUUAACCAUCAUGAUAGAUAGACACAGCACCUGCCCCCAUAGAUGUUAUAGUUUAAUUCAGGAAUAGUUAAUAGCUUACCCCAUGCUAGUGUUUCUUCCCCUGUGUUAGAUUUCAAUUGCUGCAUCACAAAUUAGCACAAAAUAAGCAACUUAUAACAAUACACUUUUUAAUUUCACAAUUUCCAUGGGUGAAGAGUCUAGGAACAGCUUAACUGGGUCCUCUGCUCAGAGUCUUACGAGGCUGAAAUCAAGGUGUUGGUUGAGGCUCAAAAGUCACUGAGAUCUCUGUGGAUCUAUAAAAAUCUCCACAAUAUCUGCACUGUUAUCGUGAUGAUUAUUCUUCAGUACUAUGUUAAUACUUCAGUAGAACUUACUGCUCUGACCAUGCUGUCUUUUCUACUAAUGAGCAAACGUCCUGUGCAAGCUCUAGAAAGUCUGCACUUUUUCUCUGGUGCCAAUUUUUUAUUAUAUUAUGCCUCUUGCCUCAUGUUUCAAGUUGUAACCAUCUUGAUACCUUAUUCCAUAACCUACAUAAGCUUAACACUUAACGGUAGAUCUUGCAGUAACAAUAUGUGAUAUAUACAUAUGUGUGUGCCUGCGUGCAUGUGUGUGUAUGUGUAUUCAGUGAUA